rnacentral:rRNA from 1 species
GCGAUAGGUCACUACUUCUGGAAUGGGUAAUGACUCAAACCUAUAUGGCCCCUGGAUUGGACUGCGGCCGAUCAGGCUGUUGGUGAGGUAAUGGCCCACCAAACCUGUAACCGGUACGGGCUCUGAGAGGAGGAGCCCGGAGAUGGGCACUGAGACAAGGGCCCAGGCCCUAUGGGGCGCAGCAGGCGCGAAACCUCUGCAAUAGGCGAAAGCCUGACAGGGUUACUCUGAGUGAUCUCCGUUAAGGAGAUCUUUUGGCACCUCUAAAAAUGGUGCAGAAUAAGGGGUGGGCAAGUCUGGUGUCAGCCGCCGCGGUAAUACCAGCACCCCGAGUGGUCGGGACGUUUAUUGGGCCUAAAGCAUCCGUAGCCGGUUCUACAAGUCUUCCGUUAAAUCCAGCUGCUUAACAGAUGGGCUGCGGAAGAUACUAUGGAGCUAGGAGGCGGGAGAGGCAAGCGGUACUCGAUGGGUAGGGGUAAAAUCCGUUGAUCCAUUGAAGACCACCAGUGGCGAAGGCGGCUUGCCAGAACGCGCUCGACGGUGAGGGACGAAAGCUGGGGGAGCAAACCGGAUUAGAUACCCGGGUAGUCCCAGCUGUAAACGAUGCAGACUCGGUGAUGAGUUGGCUACAUGCCAUCUCAGUGCCGCAGGGAAGCCGUUAAGUUUGCCGCC